rnacentral:rRNA from 1 species
UACAGAGGGGGCAAGCGUUGUCCGGAUUUAUUGGGCGUAAAGAGCGUGUAGGCGGCCAGGGAGGUCCGUUGUGAAAACUCGAGGCUCAACCUCGAGACGCCGAUGGAAACCCCCUGGCUAGAGUCCGGAAGAGGAGAGUGGAAUUCCUGGUGUAGCGGUGAAAUGCGCAGAUAUCAGGAAGAACACCCGUGGCUAAGGCGGCUCUCUAGUACGGUACUGACGCUGAGACGCGAAAGCGUGGGGAGCGAACAGG